rnacentral:rRNA from 1 species
UAGUCAUAUGCUUGUUUUUAAGAUUAAGCCAUGCAUGUCUAAGUAUAAAGGUUUUUAUAAUGAAACUGCGAAUGGCUCAUUAAACCAGUUAUAGUUUACUUGAUAUUCAAACUUAUUAAAUGGAUAACCGUAGUAAUUCUAGAGCUAAUACAUGCGCAACGGGGGACUUCUCGGAACCCCAGGCAUUAUUUGAUUCUUACAAACCAAUAUUCGGCAACGUCUAUUGCGAUGAUUCAAGGUAACUGACCGGAUCGCUGGUUCGCACGAGCGAUAAAUCAUUCAGUUUCUGCCCCAUCAGCUUGAUGGUAGUGUAUUGGACAACCAUGGCUUUCACGGGUAACGGGGGAUUAGGGUUCGAUUCCGGAGAGGGAGCCUGACAAACGGCUACCACUUCUACGGAAGGCAGCAGGCGCGUAAAUUAUCCAAUCCUGAUUCAGGGAGGUAGUGACGAGAAAUAAUGAACUGGGAUUUAUCCCGGGGUUACAAUGGGCUUGAUUUGCAAACUUUAUUUAGCGAGGAACAAUUGGAGGGCAAGUCUGGUGCCAGCAGCCGCGGUAAUUCCAGCUCCAAUAGUGUAUAUUAUAGUUGUUGCAGUUAGACUAAGCUCGUAGUUGGAUUUCUGGGGGUGGGAGAUGCGGUGCGGCUAUGGCUGCGCCCGUCCCCCUCCUUCAUCCGCCUGUUAACGUUGCGCGGCAUUCAGUUGUCGGCUUCGGGCUCAGGCAUUUUACCUAUUUUGAGCAAAUUAUAGUGUUUCAGGCAGGCGUGCGCCGGAAUACAUUAGCGUGGAAUAAUAUAACAGGACCGUGAUUUAUUCUUUAAAUCUCGCUUAUUUGUUGGUUUCGAGGACACGGUAAUGAUUAAUAGGGAUAGUUAAACACAAAGGGGAGGCAUUAGUAUUUAAUUUCCAGAGGUGAAAUUCUUUGAAAUAUUAAAGACUAACUUAUGCGAAAGCAGUUGCCAAGAAUGUUUUCAUUAAUCAAGAACGAAAGUUAGGGGAUCAAAGACGAUCAGAUACCGUCCUAGUCUUAACCAUAAACUCUGCCGACUAGGGAUCGGGGGGCGUGCGCGUUCCGCCCUCGGCACCUUACGAGAAAUCAAAGUUUCGGGUUCUGGGGGUAGUAUGGUCGCAAGGCUGAAACUUAAAGGAAUUGACGGAAGGGCACCACCAGGAGUGGAGCUUGCGGCUCAAUUUGACUCAACACGGGAAAACUUACCAGGUCCAGACAUUGGAAGGAUUGACAGAUUGAAAGCUCUUUCUUGAUUCAAUGGGUGGUGGUGCAUGGCCGUUCUUAGUUGGUGGAGUGAUUUGUCUGGUUAAUUCCGUUAACGAACGAGACCUCAGCCUGCUAAAUAGUUAUCUGUCUUUCUCGAGACUUGUUAACUUCUUAGAGGGGACCCUGUGUGCAACCACAAGUAAGUUCGAGGCAAUAACAGGUCUGUGAUGCCCUUUAGAUGUCCUGGGCCGCACGCGUGCUACACUGAUACGUACAACAAGUAUUUGCUGCUCCGAAAAAGAUAAUGGCUAAUCUACAAUACGUAUCGUGCUGCGGAUAGAUCCUUGCAAUUAUGGAUCUUGAAGGAGGAAUUCCUAGUAAGCGCAAGUCAUUAGCUUGCGUUGAUUACGUCCCUGCCCUUUGUACACACCGCCCGUCGCUCCUACCGAUUUCGAGUGAUCAGGUGAACCUUUCGGACUGUCGAGCAAUCGCGAAUGAAAGUUGAACCUUAUCACUUAGAGGAAGGAGAAGUCGUAACAAGGUUUCCGUAGGU